rnacentral:lncRNA from 1 species
AAAUCAUCAUUGUAUUUUACACAUCAAAAACGUGUAAAAAACAAAUCACAUACGGUUGAACAAUGUGUUUUACUUGCAAACACGAACAUGUAACAACACAUUACAUUGCAUUUACUUUUAGUUAUAAAAGAGGGACGAAAGAUACCAAAGGGACAGUCAAACUCAUAAAUCUAAAACAAACUGACAACGCCAUGGCUAAAAAUGAAAAAGACAAACAAAAAACAGCACACAUGACACAACAUAGAAAACUAAAGAAUAAACAAC